UAAACUCGACAAGUCCAUAUAGCUUUUCUGCAGGAAACACACUGGCGCAGACGUGACACAACCUCUCUAAAAGAUAGAUGGAUAGGCUCUGUCACUCCUGCCUCAUAUACUUCCAAAUCUAGAGGUGUGGCGAUUAUCCUAAAUUCUGCUCUGAACAGCACAGUGGGGAAAAUAUUCAAAGACAAACUGGGUAGAUACCUCAUUAUGGAUGUGAAUAGAUAUGGGAAUAAAUAUACUCUUGUUAAUGUGUAUGCUCCAAACAGUGAAAACCAAUCUUUUUUCGCAGACCUGCUCCAACGGUUAGACUCCUGGGGGGCCUCAAACUUGAUCAUUGGUGGUGACAUGAAUACGGUGUGUGAUCCCUACAUGGACAAGUCAGGAAUGUGCUGGGGUG